AUCAGAGAUGAGACUGAGGUGCAGAAAUGUGCACUGUAACAGCCUGCUCUUUAUCUGAUCUGUGAGCAGUCUGAACUCGUUCCUCAGCAACACCACACUCCUUCCGCCCAAAGUAAAGUCUGCAUAGUUUCCUCCUACUAUUAAUACAUCUUGUGGUGGAGAGAGACCUCUUCAAGCCUAGAUGCACAGACUCCCUACUGCGACAGCUCCCUGUUCUCAGGGAUGGCCUACAGAAAGAACACAGGGACGGGAUGGUCUGUCUUCUGGUUAAAGCACUGAGCCGGUAUUCAGUGACCUGGGCACAA